rnacentral:misc_RNA from 1 species
AAGUCGUAACAAGGUUUCCGUAGGUGAACCUGCGGAAGGAUCAUUAUUGAAGUUAAUUCAGAAGGUUGUAGCUGGCUUUUCAAUCGAGAGCAUGUGCACACCUUCUGUCUUAUAACUCUUACCACCUGUGCACCUUUUGUAGUCCAUGAGCGAAUUUCAAUUGAAGGCAACUUCACAUUGGUUUGAAGGGUUGCGUCUCAGCUCCCUUUGUUAGCUUGUGGUCUAUGUUCUUAUACACCCUAGUAUGUCUUUGAAUGUCUCAUUGGGUCUUGUGCUGUAAUGGCAUGGCCUUUAAAACUUAUACAACUUUCAACAACGGAUCUCUUGGCUCUC